UUGUGACUGAAACUUGAAACAAAAACAGGUUUGCGAUGGAUGUUCAUGAAGGACAGAUGUUUGUUAACCCGACUUUCGACGAUUGGAUUUACGAAAACAGCGUUCCACCAUCGCCUUCGAAUUUUUCGCGUCCAUUGACGUACCGCGCGGAAGUCACUGCUCCUACUGAAACGAGGAAUUCUCGCCAGGCACAAUAUGAGAGUAAAGCACAAGGAAAGAGGAAACCUCCUGUGCGAUCAAACCGGUCACAGUUGACCCUCUUGACUCUUGUGUGCUUGGUGUCUUUCGUAAUAUUUGUGAUGAUACUUAUGAUAUUCGUUGGAGGAGUAUUGAAGGGUUGUAGCUGUCCUGUAAACGAAGCUAAACAGCAGCACAGAAAGACUUUUCCAAGAAGAUGCCAUCAUCAGGAAUCUGAUUGACGUUAUCAACAUCACUAUAUCCUUGAAGCUAGAGAAUGUGAGUGAGCUCCAAGGCCCCGUCGGACAACGCGGUUUUAAUAGGCAAGGACCUGUUGGACCAGCCGGACCACGAGGAUUUAAUGGAACAAAGGGUAUUUAGGGGGUAAUAGGUUCACAGGGUAUAAACGGUUCACAAGGACCACUAGGGCCACAGGGACCCAACGGGGCAGGAAUCUUCUCCCAGUGUGAACACAAGAGCAAGAAAUUGACUGGAAGGCAAGCCCCAAUCACCAGCAACAGUUUACUGAUCCCAACUGUUAUCCUGGGUGAACCAAGUGUAAGUAAAUUUAAAAAAAGGAGAUUCAAAACUAUCAUUGAUGACAAAGUGUUUAGGGCUGGUUGUCCAACUUCUUUGCCUAAUCUUAACGCAGAUGAAUUCCUGAGUCCUUAAAUAUAACUGACGCAAAAUGCCAACAUUGAA